GACCCUCCCAGCUUGUGUCAUACAGCCCAGCAAAUGGUUUCACAGCCUUUCAGAGGAGUCAGUGCUCAAGCUAUGACACUUCAAAAAGCAGCUGGGAGGAGUGUGUCUUUCACACUUAGAGGUGGAAGAACAGCAGGAGCAGAGGACACAGCUUCCUCCAGCGGUCUACAGAGCGACUGUCUCCGGCUGCCUGCCCUCUCCUGGGCAGGAGGAGCGCUGUUGAGCUGGCAGCCAGCCGGACUGGAGCUCCUCUCUGUCCUUCAGCCCUGGUCCUGCACCGUGCUGGAGGAGGGGUCAUACGGCACAACCUGGCAGAACACACAGCCAGCCUCCUGGAAGGCCCGCUUCAGCUCCCCCUGGUGGCAGAACACAGAGCCCUCAGACCACAGGACAACCCGUCUACAGGCAGCUCGCCGGCAGGUCCUGACAGAGGCACCACAUGCCCCAGCUUCAGCUGGCGGGGGCCUUAGGAGUGAUUCCUGACCCCAGCCAGACCCUUAUCCCGACCCAGGCAGUGGUGUGAAGGAGAAAGGCAGGGAUGUGUGAGACCAGCCCACUCUUACCAGCUUGUGAGGGUCAAGACAGAGUCCCACCACAGCUCCUCCACUGCCUGGCAGCUUCGCUGCUGAGCCGAACUGGGGAGACACACGAAACGCAUGGUGACAAACCCUUGCACACCCUUCCUGCUCGAGUGAAGAUCUGUAAUGUAUCUCUUUGUCUAACUGUGGAGUACAGUUAGAAGCUGAUGGAUCAGCAUCUUGCCUAGUGAGGCUUUAAUAAGUCUUUAAUAAUCAUCUGUAAUGAAAUUCAGAACUGGCAUCUUGGAAGCCGUAGCAAAGGCAGAAAUGCCCAGAUUAAAAGAAAUUCAGCAUUCAGCAUAGGACCUGCUGUACCUGUCGUGCCAGUUCCACCAUCUUCAGAUUGCCCUGUCCCAGACACUCAUCGGUGUAGACAGACCUGCGAGAGAGAAGAGGGCUGACUAUGGCCCCGAGCCACGAUUGAGCUCUCCUGCAUGAGGAAGUACUACAGACGCAGGCGUCCGUGUGAGAUCUGCAUCCUCUCUCACUUCUGAUCUUUCCAAAGAACAGAAAACGAGGCGGGGCAAAGUUAAGCAAGGGAAGUAAUGAUAUAUCUACAGACUGGCAGCUGCAGCCCCAGGGUAUGCCAGUUUGAACCAUUCCAGCUUUUACUGUAAGCUGCAGGCUCCUGUUAUAAGUCAGAACAAUGUGCUUU
rnacentral:lncRNA from 1 species